rnacentral:rRNA from 1 species
UACAGAGGUCUCAAGCGUUGUUCGGAUUCAUUGGGCGUAAAGGGUGCGUAGGUGGCGGGGUAAGUCAGGUGUGAAAUCUCGGGGCUCAACCCCGAAACUGCACUUGAUACUGCUUUGCUCGAGUACUGGAGAGGAGAUUGGAAUUUACGGUGUAGCAGUGAAAUGCGUAGAGAUCGUAAGGAAGACCAGUGGCGAAGGCGGGUCUCUGGACAGUUCCUGACACUGAGGCACGAAGGCCAGGGGAGCAAACGGG